GUUCGCGAAGUAACCCUUCGUGGACAUUUGGUCAAUUUGAAACAAUACAGAGAUGAUCAGCAGUUCCCCUGCAUAAGGAUGAACCGUUUUACAAAGAGAUUUAUUUCGUUUUU
rfam:Saccharomyces cerevisiae VL3 chromosome XII, whole genome shotgun sequence.